AGAGUUUGAUCCUGGCUCAGGAUGAACGCCGGCGGUGUGCCUAAUACAUGCAAGUCGUACGCACUGGCCCAACUGAUUGAUGGUGCUUGCACCUGAUUGACGAUGGAUCACCAGUGAGUGGCGGACGGGUGAGUAACACGUAGGUAACCUGCCCCGGAGCGGGGGAUAACAUUUGGAAACAGAUGCUAAUACCGCAUAACAACAAAAGCCACAUGGCUUUUGUUUGAAAGAUGGCUUUGGCUAUCACUCUGGGAUGGACCUGCGGUGCAUUAGCUAGUUGGUAAGGUAACGGCUUACCAAGGCAAUGAUGCAUAGCCGAGUUGAGAGACUGAUCGGCCACAAUGGAACUGAGACACGGUCCAUACUCCUACGGGAGGCAGCAGUAGGGAAUCUUCCACAAUGGGCGCAAGCCUGAUGGAGCAACACCGCGUGAGUGAAGAAGGGUUUCGGCUCGUAAAGCUCUGUUGUUGGAGAAGAACGUGCGUGAGAGCAACUGUUCACGCAGUGACGGUAUCCAACCAGAAAGUCACGGCUAACUACGUGCCAGCAGCCGCGGU
rnacentral:rRNA from 1 species